rnacentral:pre_miRNA from 1 species
UUAUUACUCCCUCCAUUCAGAAUUACUUGUCUCGGAAAUGGAUGUAUCUAGAACUAAAAUACAUCUAGAUACAUCCAUUUCCGCGACAAGUAAUUCCGAACGGAGGGAGUACUUC